GUCCCUGUGGCUCAGUUGGGAGAGCAUGGUGUUUGCAACGCCAGGGUUGUGGGUUCGAUUCCCACGGGGGGCC
rfam:Salmo salar isolate Sally breed double haploid chromosome ssa20, whole genome shotgun sequence.